rnacentral:lncRNA from 1 species
GCUGCACCUGGGGCAUAUGGAAGUUUCCAGGCUAGGAGUCCAAUUGGAGCUGCAGCUGCAGGUCUACACCACAGCCAUAGCCACAUGGGAUCUGAGCUGAGUCUGUGACCUACAUGACAGCUCUCGGCAACACCGGAUCCUUAACACACUGAGAGGGGCCAGGGACUGAACCGGCAUCCCCAUGGAGGGGUCUGAUUGGAUUCUCUAAUGGCUUUGGCACCGUUCCUCAUUCCUCUUUGGCUGGUUUGCUGAACCCUGUAUUCAAAGGACAAGGAGGUUCCCAGGGUUCUCAUCAUCAGCCUUCUACUCUGGAUUUCUAAGCACAUGCAUGUCCAUUAAACAAUGACCACACUGUCAUUCAGUUGGAUGUACAGGACGGUACAACUGAUUUUAUUACAUACGCUAAACAAUAUCAAGAAUAACUGUACCAUUUUGAGUACUGGGUUCUGACCUAUUGUUUUUAUGUUCAUUACUCUAUUUUAUUUUCAUAGCAUCUUUAAAAGAUGGGUACAGUUUCCCCUCUUUUACAGCUAAGGAAGGAAAAGCUCAGAGAGCCCAAGCUUGCACAAGAUCCCACAGUGACAAAGAUGCUGAGCUGGGAUGCACAGCCAGCUCAUCUGAGUCUACAGACUGCACACCUUACCAAUUUCACAUUCAGAGGCUGACUCCCUAAGCUUCUGGCCAGUCCUGCUGUACACUGUGGGCUAUGAGCUUCAAGUCCAGGAAUCUAGAGGUGGCACACAAGCGAACAGAAGAAGAGAAAACAGUCUGUCUUCUCUCUUUCUCAAGAAAUUUCUAGAAUGCUUCUCUUUGGUCUAACAACAACAACUUUGGCCAACAAGAAAACAAUCAGCCUUGAGUUCCUAUUGUGGAUCAGCAUUAACAAGCCCAACUAAUAUCCAUGAGGAUGUGGAUUCAAUCCCUGGCCUGGCUCACUGGUUUAAGGGUCUGGCGUUGCCAUGAGCUGAGGUAUAGGUCACAAAUGUGGCUUGGAUCCUGUGUGCUGUGGUGGCUGUCAUGUAGACUGGCAGCUGCAUCUACAACUAGACCCCUAGCCUGGGAAUUUCCACAUGACACCAGUACGGCCCUAAAAAGAAAAAAAAAAAAAGAACAGGACCAGCCACAUUUAUUGAGAACUGUGUUAGGACUGUCCUAGGUAUCUGCCGUAAGUGACCAGAUGAGAAAUCAAAUCGGAGACAACACCCAGGAAAUAAGAUAGAAAAGGGAAGGAAUCACUGUGUCUCCCUGAUAUCAAAGAAGACCCAAGAAAUGAACAAAAGAAUGGCUCAGAGUUACAGAAACCCCUUGGUGGGAAGCUCCAAAGCAAACCCACCAUCAGAUCAGCAGUAUCCACUGCAAAUAUUCCCUCCUCCAUUAGCUCACCUCCAGUCCCAAGAGCCAACCACGAGGUUUUCCUCUACGAGGAAAUCGCCAAAUGUGAUCCAAAGACCUUAGAAACUAGCUGACUGCAUAAAUAAUGUGGUCAUCGGUCUGUGUAUCUCUCAAAGAGGCAGAGGAAAGAAAGCAUGGGAUGCUGCAGAAAAGGAGUCAACUGGGGCUGCCCAGGCGAGCCCUUGUCCCAGUGACCCGGGAGUUUGUUAACAGCGCAAUGGUGGUUUACAGCAACCAGCAGGAGCACAGGAAUGGCUGGACCAAAUCCAAAAGAACUGAUAAAGGUCCAAGGAAAGGGAGGAUGGACUGACAAACACGUGAAGAGAAACCUCAUCAGAAUCAUGUAGGAGGAGGAAGGGCGUAGAAAGCAAAGUUCAAAUGCGCUCACAUCACACCUCAGGAAACAGGUGAGGGAGCCAAAGUGGAGGACAAGGCUCCAAAGUGCUCGGAGAUGGAAAGACUUGGAUGUCAUCUGGAACAAACAUGGAGCACUGAGAACCAGGAAUAGGGUUGACCCUGAAACCCACCAAAAGUGGGUUCGUUUUUGCAAUUCAGAUGGAUUCAUUAGGUCUGAAAGGAUAGACACAAAGGCAGGAGCACAAGGAUGAAAGGAGUAAAGUAGAGUGGGGGAUGCCUGGAAUUGUGACAAUCAUGGGGGAAGCUAAGGCAGUCACCUUGUCCUUGACUCCCAUCCACAGAGGGUCACACAUGUGGGCUUUCACCUCUCUCUCCAGAUCAGAUUUAACCUCUGGUCACAAGAACACAAGGACAGGAUGCAAUCCAACCCUUCAUCAAAGGGUCUAAACACAUCAUCUAAAUACAGUGGAAGUAAUAUUUUGGAUAAAUCACAUGAGCCACGCUAUUACAUCACAUGCAUUUCAUGCUGCGUGUCUGUGAAAA